GCCAGUGUGAUGUAGUGGUUUGAGCAUUGGACUACGACUCUGGAGAUCAGGGAUCGAAUCCUGGCUCUGCCA
rnacentral:tRNA from 1 species